UACAUGGGGUGCAAACGUUGCUCGGAAUUAUUGGGCGUAAAGAGCUCGUAGGUGGUCUGUCGCGUCUGCCGUGAAAACCCGAGGCUUAACCUCGUGGCUUGCGGUGGAUACGGGCAGACUAGAGGUAGGUAGGGGAGAAUGGAAUUCCCGGUGUAGCGGUGAAAUGCGCAGAUAUCGGGAGGAACACCGGUGGCGAAGGCGGUUCUCUGGGCCUUACCUGACGCUGAGGAGCGAAAGCGUGGGGAGCGAACAGG
rnacentral:rRNA from 1 species